GACUCGUUAGCUCAGUUGGUAGAGCACAACACUUUUAAUGUUGGGGCCUCGGGUUCGAGUCCCGAACGGGUCA
rnacentral:tRNA from 1 species